AGUUCCUGGCUGGAGCCAGAGGAAUGAGGAGGGAUGCUCCCUAGGCUACAGCCAGAGAAACCAAGCUGGGCCAGGGCCCGUUGUUGGCCACACACAGGAGUCCAGAUGGAACCCUGCGGAUUCAAUUCCAGAGAGCAAAUUUAACUGGGAAAGAAGGUGGUUUGGAUUCUGCAACCUGGCCACAAGGCCAAGCCACAAAAGACCUGCAGAGGCUGAAGGAGGUGCUGGGAGCUGAAGAGAAUGGCAGUGUGGCACCCGAAUAUCAAGGAGGCACUCGAGUUUCACUGAGAUGAGGAAUGCUGAGGCAUUGCCCUCACUAAGUCGGAGGCCACCCCUACCAGAAUCCAGAAGCAAGUAAGCGGAUCUUGAACGCUAAAGCAAACAGCUUGCAGUCCCUGUAUACAGCUAUUGCUGCAGGCAGUCUUCGUCUUCGUGUUGUGGGAAACUGUUCAUCUAGAUCAGCCUGGCCUUAUAGGAGAUAAGAGAUUCAAUAACAGGAUAAGUCUUUGACAACUACAGAGUAGGUGGCAUCCAGGGGGAAAGGAGUGCAUUGUUGUGCUGUUAAAGGGGACUUGCAGUUUGAAAGAAGCUGAUGGUGAGAGUUACAGUAUGACCUUAGCACAAGAAAGGCAUCGCUGGGUACCCCUGGGGAAAAAAUAAAAAUAAAUCACAGUUUCCACAAUGUCUUUAUCCCCACCUCUCAUUUCCCCCUUCCGUCUAACCCUGCUGCAAAUGAUGGGAGUCAGUAGUGCAACCUGCUUCCUCUUCAGUGGCUUACUAUCUAUGAAAUGACUCCCAGGUAUCCAGAUCAUAGCCAGCACCUUAAUUGUCAGCCAAGAAACUGAGGAUUAUGUGGGCACAGAAGACACACUAUCCUCUCAUUUGUAGAGGUGGGCCCUUCAGCCCAUGGUUCAGGCACUUGGGAGGGGUAAUAUGUAGAAGAUUGCUCUAUUGUUAGCUAGCCUGCACCUGUGCUGUGAAUAGAGCGAAUUUAAAAUUUUUGCUCAAAAUAUUUUCUCAACAAAAAACAUCACUUUUGUCAAAAUGGAAGUUUUCAUAGGAAAUAUCCCAAAAAGAAAUCAAACAUGAAAAUUGAAAUUUUUUUGAAAAAUUCUUGGGUUUUGGCAACAAAAAAUUGUAACUGGUCGGAUGAAAAUUUCCAAAAAACCCCCCAAUUUUUGCCCCCCAAACUAUUUUGUUUUCAUCGGUUUUUCAUAGGAAAAACCCCAUUUCAUGAGCACCAUCAUAUGAGACUAAAUUGAGGUUUUUGUUCUUCUGGACUGUCAGUUGGUCAAUUUUCACAAGAAUCAAAUUCACAAAAAUGAGAAAAAUCACAAAUAUCUAAUAAAAUGAAGACAGCUGCCUGAGCAUGUGAUGUCAUCGAUGGUGACAAAAAAUUCAGGGAUCAGGACAGAGGCAAAAAGUGGUGGCCUUCUACUAAAGCAAUGGUUCCCUUAAAUGGUUU